rnacentral:rRNA from 1 species
CUACGGGUUGCACCAGUCGAGAAUCUUCCGCAAUGGACGCAAGUCUGACGGGGCAACGCCGCGUGUAGGAUGAAGGCCCUCGGGUUGUAAACUACUGUUGCGAAUGAGGAAUGCCGUGUCGUUAAUAGCGGUGCGGUUGACCAGUUUGUGAGGAAGCACAGGCUAACUCCGUGCCAGCAGCCGCGGUAAUACGGAGUGUGCGAGCGUUACUCGGAAUCACUGGGCUUAAAGCGCGCGUAGGCGGAGGCGUAUGUCGGUUGUGAAAGCCCCCGGCUCAACCGGGUGAACUGCAACCGAAACUGCGCUUCUUGAGGACGAGAGGGGAGAGCGGAACUUCUGGUGGAGCGGUGAAAUGCGUAGAUAUCAGAAGGAACAUCGGUGGCGAAAGCGGCUCUCUGGCUCGUAUCUGACGCUGAGGCGCGAAAGCUAGGGUAGCGAACGGGAUUAGAUACCCCAGUAGUC